UGUGCUAAUACCGCAUAAUCUCUCAGGAGAAAAGCAGGGGAUCGCAAGACCUUGCGCUUUAGGAACGGCCGAUGCCUGAUUAGCUUGUUGGUAAGGUAAAAGCUUACCAAGGCUUCGAUCAGUAGCUGGUCUGAGAGGACGACCAGCCACACUGGGACUGAGACACGGCCCAGACUCCUACAGGAGGCAGCAGUGGGGAAUUUUGGACAAUGGGGGAAACCCUGAUCCAGCCAUGCCGCGUGAGUGAAGAAGGCCUUCGGGUUGUAAAGCUCUUUCAGCCGGACGAACGGU
rnacentral:rRNA from 1 species